rnacentral:SRP_RNA from 1 species
CUGUGCUAGAUGGGGAGUUAGCGGUUUCCUGUAACCUGAAAUCCGCUAUAUGCAGGGUUGAAUUCCAAUAGAUGGGUUUUGCUGGAUAUAAUAAAAAUAUAUAAGCGAUGUUGAAGUAUGAGCUUUGCGCAAUGAAUGUUUUCUGAACUCCGCCAGAUCUGGAAAGAAGCAACGGUAGGAAUUAUAUUUAGGUGCCGCAGAAUCCUUAUGCUGAGUUGGCUGUCUAUUUUUUUAUAUUUACAGAAGAUUCUACUAUUGGUGCACAG